CAACAGCUUAUGGGUUUAGAGCAUCCAAAUCAUAAGGAACUUGUAAAAGCGGGAAAUGCUGCCCAACAAUAAUUGAAGUCAUAGAGAAUCUAUGUCACUUUUUAUAAAGCUCAUGUUGGCCAUGAAAAUGAACUGAAAUAUCUUCCUUUGAGUACAUCAGCGAAGAGUGAAUUAGCAAAAAAAAUUUCUGAUGGAAUUUCUUUGAAGCAGUUAUUGAAUGAAUGAAGAAAUUCCGUAACUGACAAUUUUGAACGAAUUCAUCUGUUAACAAGACAAGAUUUAUGAAAUAUUGGCAAUGCCAAUUGCCUUUUUAAAACAGAAAGGCGGCAUGAAAAUGUCUCGAUUAGUGUAGAUCUGUUCAUCGAGGAGAUGAAAUAACUCGGAGAGACUUCCCCGGUAGUUUUUUGUUAAAAACAAGGUGUGUCUUCACACAAACUAAAUCUGAACGACUUUUGUUUAGUAAGUAUGCAAGGAAAUAUGUUGAUAUAAUUCGGAGGUGAAAAAAUCUGCAUAGACUCAUCCCAUGGGUUGAAUGAAUGUGAUUUUCAAUUGACUACGUUGAUGGUCAUUGAUGAAUAUGGAGCUAGAUUUCCAUCUGCGCACUGCGUAUCGAACUUAUGAAAUGGUUCGUAUGAAAUGGCUGCGUAUGAUACUUAUGAAAUGGAACUCUUUUUCACUGUCUUGAAAGAAAAGAAAUCAACAAUUCUCACCCGUGUGUUCAUGUUAGACUAUACCCCUUAUUACUAUAAUGCAUGGGGAAAAGUUAUGGGCAAGACUUAAAUGUGACUUUUAUGUACGUGGCACAUCGAUGAAAAUUGGAGAAAGAUGUUGUGCAGGAUAGCGUCAACAGACGGAAAAAAAUUGCAGUCUACGGGUAUGCUAGGAAUCUUAUGGAGGAAAUAAGUGCCGAAAAAAUUUGUGAGAAUGUUGGAAGCAUUUUUAAAACAACUAAUGGAAGAUGAAGAUACAAGAGCUUUUGGGAAAUAUUUUAAAAAUUAUUACUCUGGGAGAUUUGAGGUAUGAGCAUACUGCCACAGAGUAAAAUGCAGGCAUAAAUACUAAUAUGUAUUUGGAAGCUCUCCAUAAAGUGAUUAAACAUGUUUACAUGAAAGGUAGAAAAUGUAGGAGGCUUGAUGCCUGCAUUGCACAUCUGCCCCAAAUUAUAAAAAAUAAAAGAUCGUUGUGUGAAAUUAAUUAAAGGGGCAAAUUUUACUAAGAUAGCAGAUAUUCAUAUCGGACAUAAAAAUAAGCUGAGUUUUUUCAAAAGAAGAUAUUGAAGAAGUUGACACAACUACCUGGAAGGGGAAAUCCAAAAGCUGCUCAAGAAGUUCUUACGUUGUUAAAAAAGAACAAAAUGAAUGUGAUUGUAAAUUGUUUUGUAAUUAUUGUAAAAUCUGUAUACAUUGUUAUCCCUGUUCAUGCAUUAAUUUCAUUGUUAGAGCAAAUAUGUGUAAGCAUAUACAUGCAGUGGGCAUAAUUUUUAAAAAUGUCGGGGAACCUUUACGAGAAAAAGAAUUUAUGGAAAGUGCACAGUAAAUUUAGAUAAUUCAAAUAAUGAUAAAGAUAAUAGUCAAUUUAAAACAAAACUAUCUCAUGCCUUAAGGCUGUUAGAUAAUAAAACUUUAACUGAUGAGAAAAAAAAAACAGUUAAAUAAACAUCUUAAUGCAGUUAUUAGGUUAAUAGAAGAUGAUGAAACGAAAACAGAUAAAACAGUCGGCUCUGAACCUGUAAUUAAAAAAAUUACACCUCAACCAAGAUUUUACUGAACUAAAAAGAGAGGAUUAAACAGUAGUUUAUCUAUUUCUAAACCUAGUAAUGAUUAUAAAAUACAACUGAAAUAAAACUGAAUCAGUCUUAAGUAAUAUCAAGUUAAUUAAUUUGCAUGACUCAAAUGUUCAUUCUUACUGCAACAAUAACAUUUAAAAAUAAAAUGACAUGAUUAUAUUUUCAAUAUUAUUUUUGAUUACAUAUAUAUUACCAUAUAUUUAAUUUUAAAAUAAGUGGAAUAAAACUACUAUUUAUCUUUUUAGUAAUUUCACAAUUUUUUUAAAGAACUUUUUGACUUCACCUUCUAGGUAGUAUUGUCAACUUUUUCAAUUUCCUUGUAAUGCAUUGUUACAUAAAAUGUACUGUUAUGCCUUGUAAUGUUUCACAAUGUCUAAAAUAAAAACUUUCUUUUGAGGUUAAA
rnacentral:lncRNA from 1 species